AGCAGUGGAGUAUGUGGUUUAAUUCGAAGCAACGCGAAGAACCUUACCAGGUCUUGACAUCCGAUGCAUAGUGCAGAGAUGCAUGAAGUCCUUCGGGACAUCGAGACAGGUGGUGCAUGGUUGUCGUCAGCUCGUGUCGUGAGAUGUUGGGUUAAGUCCCGCAACGAGCGCAACCCUUAUUGCCAGUUACUACGUAAGAGGACUCUGGCGAGACUGCCGUUGACAAAACGGAGGAA
rnacentral:rRNA from 1 species